AAUUUUAAAAUUUUGAAAGUAUGGGGGUGUUUGGCUAAGGUGGCUUUUCCAGAUUUUAAAAAGUCCACUAUCGGGUCUAAAACUUUUGAUUGUGUGUUCAUUGGAUAUGCUCAUAAUAGUGCAGCCUAUUAGGGCUGGCAAAAACUGAUCUGACCCGAACCCGACCUGAAAAUAGCGGGUUAGGGUUGAGAUUUUCGACACGAAAACUUAAAUGGGUUGACGCGAACCCGACCCGAAAUUAAAUGGGUUAGGUUAAGGUUGAAAAUUCCAACCCGAAAAUGACCCACUUAACCCGAAUUUCCGAAUAUUUUUAAAAAAAAAAAACCUUAACUAUAAAGAUACCAACCAGCCGCACAACACACAAAAAAUAUGGGUCCUAAUGUAAAUUGACCAAAGCCCAAAUAUAGCUCCUUAUAUAAAAAAUAAAACCCUAAAAUCAUCUCAAAUUCUCAAUGCUCACACCUCUCACUCAGCCGUUUCUAGCAGCAAAACUCCAGCAUUUUUAUAAUUUAAUUUUUCUUUCAAUUUUCUCUCUCAUAACUCAAACUCUAAAAAUCUAAAAUCAUAUGUGAAUUCAAUUCACCAUUGAUUGUUCAAUUUCUAGUUGGGUUUUCGGUCUCUAAAAUUCUAAAAAAAAUCUAAAAUCAUACAAAUUUGUUGAUUUGGGUUUUCGGUCUCAAGCUGGGGUUUUUCCUUUUUGGUUGAUCUGAGUUCAAUUCACCAUCGUUCAAUUUCAAGUUUUCAACCGUUCAAGCUAAUUUUUCGGUUGGUCUGAGUUCUACUUGUACAUCUCCUCAAGCUGAACUUCAAGCCUCAAGCUCAACUACAUGGGUUUUCGGUCGAUCUAAUUCUACAUCUCCAAAACUUUCACCGUCAUCUUCAAUUCUUCCUCUCCUUCAAAGACAAUUUUCUGUUUUAAUUUUGUGUUUUGGUUUUUUUUUUUUUAAUUUUUUAUUUUCAGUUUUUCUAUUCGAUUGUGCUGUUUUUGGUUAAUAAUUGUAAUGCACCUAAAAUUUUUGUUGUUAAUUUUUGCAUGUUGGUUGUUUUUGCCGAUUUAUUGUUUCUGAUUUUUUUUGUUGUUGCCAAUUUGUUGUUAAUUACAUUGUUUUCGGUCAAAUCAAUUAAUCAACUUAAUUUAAAAAAAAACAACAUAAUUUAAAAAAAAAAAUCAGGUCAAAUCAGGUCGUUUUCGGGUUGACCCGAACCUGAAAAUAUCAGGUUCAGGUUAGGGUUUUCAACCCGAAAACUUAAAUGGAUCAGGUUCAGGUUGGGGGUUAGCUGACCCGAAACCCAAAAACCCGAACACGAACCCGACCUGACCUGAUCCGUUUGCCACCCCUACAGCCUAUGGGUUCAUGCUAUUAAGUGAUAGAUCAAUUUGUGAAGCUAGAGAUGCGGUAUUUUUUUAGCAUAUUUUUCCUAUGAACAAAUCCUUGUCUUCUAAUGUUGAUGAGAAUGCUAGUAAGUCAAGUAUGAAUGUGCCUCUUGCUGACUCUAUGCCUAGUUCUAAUCUUACCAAAGUGGUAGAAGUUAAACCUAAGAGAAGUAAGAGACCUAGAAUAGAGUCUUCUUUUGGACCGAAUUUCUUGUCUUCUUUUGUAGUAGAAGACUUUGAUGUAGAUUCUUUGAGUGAGCAUAUUGUGUCUUUGUUUCUUUUAGAAAAAGACCCUAAGACUUAUGAUGAGGCAAUGAGAUCCAUAAAUGCUAGAUUUUGGAAAGAAGCCAUUAAGAGUGAACUUGAUUCUAUUAUGUCCAAUCACACUUGGGAUCUUUGUGAGUUGCCUAAGGGUUCUAAACCUAUAAGUUGUAAGUGGAUUUUCAAAAAGAAACUUAGACCGAAAGGGACCAUAGAUAAAUUUAAAGCUAGACUUGUCAUUAGAGGUUUCACCCAAAAGGAAGGUAUAGAUUUCUUUGACACCUAUUCUCCUGUGACUAAGAUUGCCACCAUUAGAACCUUGGUAGCUCUUGCGGCAAUUCAUGACUUAGUGGUUCACCAAGUGGAUGUUAAAACGGCUUUUCUUAAUGGAGACCUUGAUGAAGAAUUUAUAUGACUCAACCGAAAGGGUUUGUGGUGAAAGGACAAAAACAUAAAGUAUGUAGGCUUAGAAAGUCUCUUUAUGGUCUUAAGCAAGCUCCUAAGCAAUGGUUUGAAAAGUUUUAUAGCACUCUUAGGAGUUGUGGAUAUGUGGCUAAUUCUUCGGAUUCAUGUUUAUACUCUAAGGAGUUUGAAUCAUCUUGUGUUAUAAUAUGUUAAUAUGUUGAUGAUAUGCUUAUUGUUGAUACUAACCUUGAUGUGGUGAAAAAUGCUAAGGCUAUGCUUUCUACCAAGUUUGAAAUGAAGUACAUGGGAGAAGCCGAUUUAAUCCUUGGAAUUCGUCUAAGGAAAACAAGAAAGGGUUUUUCCCUGAGCCAAUCUCACUAUGUGGAAAAAAUUCUCAAGAAAUUUGAUUCUUUUGAUGUAGUGCCUUGCAAUACCCCAUAUGAUCCAAACAUGAAGCUUGAGAAAAACAAGGGUCCUAGUGCAUCUCAAGAGCUCUAUGCAAAGGUCAUGAAGCGGAAUAGCUUAGGAACCUCCUAGCUGACAUACCAUUAUGGGGGAAGAGUUCAUCACUAGUGUCCAUACAUUGUGACUCUCAAGCGGCAAUUGGAGUGGCCAAUAAUAGCAACUACAAUGGCAAAAAGAGACAUAUUCGUAUGAGACACAAAGUAUUGAGUGCAGGAUUAUUGGAAUAAAGAAAGGGAAUUCAAAAGGUCAGAUAUGGGCACCCGACGGGCGAGCACCGCCCAAGAAGAGUCGAAAUUCUGGAGUUCUGCCGCCCUACCGGGUACGAGAGCAACCCAAUUUUUUGACGUUGUUCGCACGACCAGGCGAGCUUCGCCCGACCGGGCGCGAGAAGACUUCUGGAAAAAUCAGAGGGUUAGCACGAUCGGGCGCGAGAGCAACCCAGUUUUUUACUUGUUGCUCGCCCGACCGGGCGAGCUGCGCCAGAUCGGGCGCGAGAUUACCCGUUGGACUCCAACGACUCUCUCUUGGAUUCCCCUUCUUAAUUUCUAGUUUGAUUCUUUGUAACCCCCCAUUUUAAGAGGUUGGUGAUUAAAUCAUUAUGUUUAUUCUGAUUUUAUUCCCUUAUUGAUGAAAAUAUUCUUCUUUGAUCUUC